UACGAAGGGUCCAAGCGUUGUUCGGAUUUAUUGGGCGUAAAGCGCGCGCAGGCGGAUCAGCAAGUCAGAUGUGAAAUCUCGGAGCUCAACUCCGAAACUGCGUCUGAAACUACUAGUCUAGAAUAUCAGAGGGGGUAGGGGAAUUUCACGUGUAGGGGUAAAAUCCGUAGAGAUGUGAAGGAACACCGGUGGCGAAGGCGCCUGCCUGGAUGAUUAUUGACGCUGAGGCGCGAAAGCGUGGGGAGCAAACAGG
rnacentral:rRNA from 1 species